GGGCUGGAGCAUGCCUGUGAGGGAAGCCACAAAUGUGGAGUCCUGGAGUAAACAGUGCAACAAGGUCCAGCUUGCAGAAAAGAAAAGAAAAACUGGAAAUCCAUACAUCUUUCAAAAGUUUGAAAUUGAAGCAAUAUUUAGAACCAUAGAUGAGGAAACACUGCCGCAUGGUGUAAUAUACACAAUGCGCUUUUCUUCUUUAAUCUGUAAUGUACAUCAAAUACUUUACAACAAUGCAUUAACAAAAGGCAAGAAACAUCUUGCUGUACAGAGGAACCCCAAUGCAACUUGAAGCCUAGAAUCACAACGGAUGAAGAGAGUAAACAAAGCGUGAGAAGCCGUCCCUCUAAAGUGUGUGCACUACACCGCCCCUUGUGCUUAACGGUAACCUUCACGCCCCACCACCCCGCCUGUCUCCUCUGCUGCCUUCCGCCACAUUCAAGAUAAAGCACUUUUUAUACUCCACAGCUCCAACUAGAAAGGUGCUGUGAUCCCAGACAAAGAGACUGAAGAUGUACAAGGUCUAACAGUCACUCGGGGAUCUUCCUGCCAGCGCAGUGGGCUGUGGUCAACACCUCUCUGGAGGACAGAGGCUUCCCACCGGAUAUUUCACACAAGUUGAAGGGGAAAAUGAACACAAAUGUGUGGGUCUCCUUUACCUGGUUAUGUUUGAUGUCUUCAGCGGGCGCAC